GUUCCUUGUCUCGUGCGGCUAUUUGGCAAACUCGUUAAAGCAAUCCUUUUAGUUUUAUGUAUCGCAGAAGUAGGACCAUGCAUGAAGUUAACUUUUAUUGCCAAUGGCACGACCCGGUUGCCUAUUUUACAUGAGAGGAUUGGCUAAAAGUUACAACGAUAUUUCAAAAAAAUUAACUGACACAAACAUUUUUCUAUCUCCCUAAU